rnacentral:rRNA from 1 species
UACGAAGGGUGCUAGCGUUGUUCGGAAUUACUGGGCGUAAAGGGCGCGUAGGCGGUUAUAUAAGUCAGAUGUGAAAGCCCCGAGCUUAACUUGGGAACAGCAUUUGAUACUGUGUGACUAGAGUGUGAGAGAGGAAAGUGGAAUUGCGAGUGUAGAGGUGAAAUUCGUAGAUAUUCGCAAGAACACCGGUGGCGAAGGCGACUUUCUGGCUCACAACUGACGCUAAGGCGCGAAAGCGUGGGGAGCAAACAGG